UGGGGAAUCUUGGACAAUGGGGGCAACCCUGAUCCAGCCAUGCCGCGUGAGUGAUGAAGGCCUUAGGGUCGUAAAGCUCUUUCGCCUGUGAAGAUAAUGACGGUAGCAGGUAAAGAAACCCCGGCUAACUCCGUGCCAGCAGCCGCGGUAAUACGGAGGGGGUUAGCGUUGUUCGGAAUUACUGGGCGUAAAGCGCACGUAGGCGGACCAGAAAGUUGGGGGUGAAAUCCCGGGGGCUCAACCCCGGAACUGCCUCCAAAACUAUUGGUCUAGAGUUCGAGAGAGGUGAGUGGAAUUCCAAGUGUAGAGGUGAAAAUUCGUAGAUAUUUGGAGGAACACCAGUGGCGAAGGCGGCUCACUGGCUCGAUACUGACGCUGAGGUGCGAAAAGUGUGGGGAGCAAAACAGGAUUAGAUACCCUGGUAGUCCACACCGUAAAACGAUGAAUGCCAGUCGUCGGGUAGCAUGCUAUUCGGUGACACACCUAACGGAUUAAGCAUUCCGCCUGGGGAGUACGGUCGC
rnacentral:rRNA from 1 species